rnacentral:rRNA from 1 species
GAUGACGCUGGCGGCGUGCUUACACACUGCAAGUNUNGAACGAUGAAGCCCAGCUUGCUGGGUGGAUUAGUGGCGAACGGGUGAGUAACACGUGAGCAACCUGCCCCGAACUUCGGGAUAACAGUUGGAAACAGCUGCUAAUACCGGAUAUGCACUUGAACCGCAUGGUUACUUGUGGGAAAGAUUUUUCGGUUCGGGGAGGGGCUCGCGUCCUAUCAGCUUGUUGGUGAGGUAAUGGCUCACCAAGGCCGUCGACGGGUAGCCGGCCUGAGAGGGUGACCGGCCACACUGGGACUGAGACACGGCCCAGACUCCUACGGGAGGCAGCAGUGGGGAAUAUUGCACAAUGGGCGCAAGCCUGAUGCAGCAACGCCGCGUGAGGGAUGACGGCCUUCGGGUUGUAAACCUCUUUUAGUUGGGAAGAAGCCUUCGGGUGACGGUACCUUCAGAAAAAGCACCGGCUAACUACGUGCCAGCAGCCGCGGUAAUACGUAGGGUGCAAGCGUUAUCCGGAAUUAUUGGGCGUAAAGAGCUCGUAGGCGGUUUGUCGCGUCUGCUGUGAAAACUGGAGGCUCAACCUCCAGCCUGCAGUGGGUACGGGGCAGGACUUUGGAAGUGCGGUAGGGGAGAUUGGAAUUCCUUGGUGUACGGUUGGAAUUGCGCAGAUCUCAGGAGGAACACCGGAUGGGGAAA